AAGGAUGAAAAUGUAAGGAGCUAGCUAGGUCUAGUGCAAGUGUACUCACCUAGAUCUCCUUCUCCCCCUCACUCAGUCUGGUGUGUGGAGAUGUGGAGGGUCACUUCAAGCAACUGUUUAGCAGAGUCCAGAGCAUCCUCUCCAAGAACAAAGACUUUGAGGUAGCUACAUACAAUGGAUGCACACACUCACUGCAGUGCCAGUGCAUUUAUUGUCCCUUUAUGUAGCUGCUGUUGUGUGUUGGAUCUUUCUUUAGCUCUGACUGCCAGAAGGAGUGGAGCAAGUAUCGGGAGGGGGUGGAAACAGGUAAUUAAACGAUAUUAAAUCACCUUUCUCUGACAUUUAUUACACCCCCAUGCACAGUGCCUCUACCAACGUUCAUCCUUGGCUCGUGUUGGACUGAGCAUGGCUAGUUCUAUGGAGACUUGUCACGUGAUGGAGGAGAGCUUUGCCCCAAUGUCACAUGUCUAGGUCAGCGUGGAGUGUACAGUGCAUCCAGUGGUCUGAGGGUGGCCUAUCUCAGUGGGAGCUACCAGGGGAGGACCUAUCUGCAUCAAAACAAGGGAGAUAAUCAAUUGCGACCAUAUUUCACUGACUCUGAUGUGUCCUGGCUGGAGGGUCAGUGCAGUGGAGAGGGCUACCGUGGAGUGGACAUUCUCCUCACCUCUGAUUGGCCCGGGGCAGUGGACAAGUUCACAGUGACUCCUAUGAGACCUAGCUCCCAGUUAUUGUAGGAUGGACCAAUACCUUAAUAAUACCUUAUGCUCAUGCAGGACGGACUGGACCUGAGUGCAGCGGGGGCAAAGCCUCUGAGUAAACUGGCCAUGUGUCUCAAGCCACGCUACCAUUUUUGCAGCUCUACACCAAACCUUCUAUGAGAGAAUACCGUACAGGAAUCAUAAAAUCCUUCAAGGCAAGCCACAUCAUGUGACACGAUUCUUAACUUUGGC